AGGAGGCAGUUGUGUGAUGGCCUUGAGGAAGAAGGGACCUGGAAGAUCUGGUGUGGCCGGACCCGAAGAACAAAGAGGAGAGAGCAACCCUGCUCUGAGAGAACCCUGCAAUGUGCUGUGUGAAGCUCAGGAGCACACCAGUAACAUCCAUGCUCUGCCCUGCUGGCCUUCGCAGGAAGCAGGCCAUGGCUCCAGGAGGUAAAUGCCACAAAAGAGGUUUAUAAUGGAA